CAGUACAUGCAGAGUAGAUUUAAGCUAUUACAUGACUGAUUCUAUGGACAUACUGUAAGUAUAUGAAACCAUAUAUUUAUAAUGGUCCUCAUUCUGCGGUUGUGAUACUGUACAUUUACACUGAAAUUGAGAACAGCUGUCACUUUUCUACAAAAGUUGAUAUCUAAUGUGUUCAUUUUGUGGAAUUAUCUGCUGAUAGAAAGAGCUCUCAGUGAAUGUAUAUUAUUUAUGCAUGUAGUGUUUAAGUUUAGAAAGGAGGAAAUGCAAUUUUGUUUAUAAUUUUGCCAUUUCUUUCAUUAUUGCUUUUGUACUCAUAAACUGAAAGGUAACACUGCCACCCUGUGGCUGUGUAUAAAAUAGGUUUAAAAAAAGUGUGAUAAAAAAUUAAUAUGAAACGUGAAUCAAUGGAAGACAGAAAUUAAAGAAGAGUGCAAACCAUGUAAACAUGCAAACACAAACCAAAGCAAAGAAGGUCCUCGCUAUUAUUUGAUCACAUCUUUUUUUAUUUUUAGAAAUAAACUUACUGUUUUCUAAGAAAUACGCUGUCGUUCUGAUGAUGCUGUUUUAUUUGUUGUUUAUUGGUGAUCACAAAGCCGGUACUUCGGUUUCUUGUACAUGCUAAGCUGCUACUCAAUCCUGGCCCUGGAUCUGUAGCACAGCUUUCUAUGCUAUAUCAUGUGUCACAUCUGGAGCAGGAGAAAGGCAUUUUAAUUGUGUUAUCGCGGGAUCAACAAGAUGGAAAUCAAUCUCAGAAAAGAUUGUUCAAAUUUAAGUGUGAUUUCAUCAUGUCUCAUGAGUGUAUUCGAAAAUUUGAAAAACUGGAAAAUUUUAAUUAGUGCUCUUAUAUUGUGACUAUGAACCUGUGUAAAAAUAAUAAAUAGACCAGCUGUAAUCACAUUCUCUUUAGAACUAUAUUUUCUUUUUUCUACCUUUUGCAUUUUUUUCAUUUGCAUAAAAUUCAUGCUCCUUUACUGAACCAUUGCUGUUUUCUGUGUUUGAUGCUGCAAUUAUUGUCAGCUCUUCGUUUCCCGAUCAGAACUGGAGAACUUGAAUCGCUCUCUGCUGGGGUGGAGUGUCAUUAAACAAACACUUUGAAGCUGCAGUGAGUACAGUACCACAGACCACAGUGACACAAAAUAUAUAAAAAGCAAUACUGGACGGAGCACUAGCAGCAGUUGUCAGAAAUGGCAGCAUCUACAGUCUCCAAAGAUUCAGAGGGUAUAUACACUGACCUGGCCUCUCCAUACCAAGAUGUGUACAGCACACUGGGCCAGACCUCACUCAACAGCCCAGGAGCUCAGCACACAG